rnacentral:rRNA from 1 species
AUUGAACGCUGGCGGCAGGCUUAACACAUGCAAGUCGAGCGGGGGAGGUUGCUUCGGUAACUGACCUAGCGGCGGACGGGUGAGUAAUGCUUAGGAAUCUGCCUAUUAGUGGGGGACAACAUCUCGAAAGGGAUGCUAAUACCGCAUACGUCCUACGGGAGAAAGCAGGGGACCUUCGGGCCUUGCGCUAAUAGAUGAGCCUAAGUCGGAUUAGCUAGUUGGGGGGGUAAAGGCCUACCAAGGCGACGAUCUGUAGCGGGUCUGAGAGGAUGAUCCGCCACACGGGGACUGAGACACGGCCCAGACUCCUACGGGAGGCAGCAGUGGGGAAUAUUGGACAAUGGGGGGAACCCUGAUCCAGCCAUGCCGCGUGUGUGAAGAAGGCCUUUUGGUUGUAAAGCACUUUAAGCGAGGAGGAGGCUACUGGUAUUAAUACUACCGGAUAGUGGACGUUACUCGCAGAAUAAGCACCGGCUAACUCUGUGCCAGCCGCCGCCGUAACAC